rnacentral:rRNA from 1 species
AUGUGGUCGAGUUCAGCUCGAAUCAGUACGGGUGCCGUUUUAUACAGCAGAAACAUGAAACAACUUCUAUUGAAGAGAAACAUGAUUUUUUUUUCUCCAGAAAUACUUCCCCAAGCAGGAAUGUUGAUGACUGAUGUUCUUGGAAACUAUGUUAUACAGAAGUUCUUCAAGUACAGGACCGAACCAAUAAAGAAGCAAUUGGCAGGCCUACUCAAGGGUCAUGGAUUAACACUGAGUCUUCAAAUGUAUCGUUGCUGGGUGAUUCAGAAGACUUUAGAAAUAGUUGGUGUGGAGCAACAAACACAAAUGGCUUUGGGGCUUGAUUGA